UUCCCAUCUGUAAACAACAUAACCUCAAAUUACACAAGGAUUCCUGGAUAAAAAAUAUAUAUUUUAAAAUUUAAAGGCUCUUUUUUUACAUCAUAUAAACUGGUACAGUCAUAACAAUUAUUUUAUGUCAUUACAGGUCAUUACUCACCACUUGACUGUUAUCUCAAGGGUAGAAAAUACUGUGCAUGCAGUAUACCAGCUCCAAGCAUGCAUGUCAGCUACCAAAGAUAAUUUAAUACUGUAUACUUGUAAACACCAUGACUAUCAAAACAGGAAUUUUAUCACUGUAAUCUAUCAGUUUAAAAGGUGACACAGUUUUGGGGAUUCAAUAUUGAUCCAGUCAAGAUAAGUACCAACAAGAGUAGAGCUCAUUAUCCACAAUCACAUAUGAGAAAGAUCUGACUAAACUUUCUGAAGAAUUAAAGUUCAUCUUGUCUAUAAGUACCAGGAAGGACUGACAGGGAGAUUUAUAUUCUUCACUUAUUGUCUUAAACGAAGUCCAGUACAGUAGGGUCAGGAUAUAUCGUGACUAUUAAUAAAGAUAUUUUUAUAUAGCGGCUACCAAAAUUAUCAAAAUUUUCCUAUAUAUAGCGAUAAUUUUUUUACAGGUGAAGUGGAGGCUGGACCAUCUGAGGAGGAAGCAGGACCAUCAAGGGUGCAGGCAGGACUAUCAAGGAUGCAGUUAUAGUUCAGUGUUUAGGCACGCAGGUGUCACGUGACGCGGAGGACGUUAGCUGUGAGUCGAGUGGAGCGAGUGAUGAGUCAGCAGAUUCCGACUUUUAAGGUGAGGGAGGCAGUGUGGCAUCUGGUGUUCCCGGGAUGGCGCGUGAGAUGGCGCAUCAGCCUCGAGUCUGUGUUCCCAACAUGGCGAGUGGGAUGGCGCGUCAGCUCCCGAGUCUGUGUUCCUUCAAAUUGAUGCUGAUAUUGAAACAGCCUGUUUUUCCCGAGUCUAGUGUUCACUGGUGCUUUAGUUAG